AGGGAAUCUUCGGCAAUGGGGGGAACCCUGACCGAGCAACGCCGCGUGAGUGAAGAAGGUUUUCGGAUCGUAAAGCUCUGUUGUAAGAGAAGAACGAGUGUGAGAGUGGAAAGUUCACACUGUGACGGUAUCUUACCAGAAAGGGACGGCUAACUACGUGCCAGCAGCCGCGGUAAUACGUAGGUCCCGAGCGUUGUCCGGAUUUAUUGGGCGUAAAGCGAGCGCAGGCGGUUAGAUAAGUCUGAAGUUAAAGGCUGUGGCUUAACCAUAGUACGCUUUGGAAACUGUUUAACUUGAGUGCAAGAGGGGAGAGUGGAAUUCCAUGUGUAGCGGUGAAAUGCGUAGAUAUAUGGAGGAACACCGGUGGCGAAAGCGGCUCUCUGGCUUGUAACUGACGCUGAGGCUCGAAAGCGUGGGGAGCAAACAGGAUUAGAUACCCUGGUAGUCCACGCCGUAAACGAUGAGUGCUAGGUGUUGGGUCCUUUCCGGGAUUCAGUGCCGCAGCUAACGCAUCAAGCACUCCGCCUGGGGAGUACGACCGCAAGGUUG
rnacentral:rRNA from 1 species